rnacentral:tRNA from 1 species
GUCCCGAUAGGGUAUCGGAUAUCCUUGAAGCCUGCGGAGCCUCAGACCCGGGUUCAAGUUCCGGUCGGGACU